GACGAACGCUGGCGGCGUGCUUAACACAUGCAAGUCGAACGGAAAGGCCCUGCUUGCAGGGUACUCGAGUGGCGAACGGGUGAGUAACACGUGUGUGAUCUGCCCUGCACUUCGGGAUAAGCCUGGGAAACUGGGUCUAAUACCGGAUAGGAGCCAUUUUUAGUGUGGUGGGUGGAAAGUUUUUUCGGUGUAGGAUGAGCUCGCGGCCUAUCAGCUUGUUGGUGGGGUAAUGGCCUACCAAGGCGGCGACGGGUAGCCGGCCUGGGAGGGUGGACGGCCACAUUGGGACUGGGAUUCGGCCCAGGCUCCUACGGGGGGCAGCAGUGGGGAAUAUUGCACAAUGGGCACAAGCCUGAUUCAGCGACGGCGCGUGGGGGAUGGCGGCCUUCGGGUUGUAAACUCCUUUCGCUAUGGACGGAGCUUUUAGUGACGGUACCUAGAGAAGAAGCACCGGCUAACUACGUG
rnacentral:rRNA from 1 species